rnacentral:rRNA from 1 species
AGCGGCGGAUGGGUGAGUAACACGUGGGGAACCUGCCCCUAAGUCUGGGAUACCAUUUGGAAACAGGUGCUAAUACCGGAUAAUAAAGCAGAUCGCAUGAUCAGCUUUUGAAAGGCGGCGUAAGCUGUCGCUAAGGGAUGGCCCCGCGGUGCAUUAGCUAGUUGGUAAGGUAACGGCUUACCAAGGCGACGAUGCAUAGCCGAGUUGAGAGACUGAUCGGCCACAUUGGGACUGAGACACGGCCCAAACUCCUACGGGAGGCAGCAGUAGGGAAUCUUCCACAAUGGACGCAAGUCUGAUGGAGCAACGCCGCGUGAGUGAAGAAGGUUUUCGGAUCGUAAAGCUCUGUUGUUGGUGAAGAAGGAUAGAGGUAGUAACUGGCCUUUAUUUGACGGUAAUCAACCAGAAAGUCACGGCUAACUACGUGCCAGCAGCCGCGGUAAUACGUAGGUGGCAAGCGUUGUCCGGAUUUAUUGGGCGUAAAGCGAGCGCAGGCGGAAAAAUAAGUCUAAUGUGAAAGCCCUCGGCUUAACCGAGGAACUGCAUCGGAAACUGUUUUUCUUGAGUGCAGAAGAGGAGAGUGGAACUCCAUGUGUAGCGGUGGAAUGCGUAGAUAUAUGGAAGAACACCAGUGGCGAAAGCGGCUCUCUGGUCUGCAACUGACGCUGAGGCUCGAAAGCAUGGGUAGCGAACAGGAUUAGAUACCCUGGUAGUCCAUGCCGUAACGAUGAGUGCCAGUGU